GCUUGCUUGGAUCUGGGCUCUACCAGCAGCACCCCAGCCCUCCCACCCUCUGCAAGGCUGGAGCACACAAAAUCUACUAGCUUGGGCCCCCUAGGCUCUGGUGUGAGAGGAACGUGGGGAGUGUCUUUCUUUUUCAAUCCAGGGCCACAUCAGAGAGAGGUUUUGAUUGUUUCUCACUCAUGUGCGGUCCCAGACUGAUUUUUUUUCUGUCCCUGACCCAAAAAGUGUUCCCCACCUCUGCUGUAGUUCCUACUCUAACUCUUCACCUUUACCAAAGCUUUGUUCAAGCAAGACCGAGAAUGUCCUUUGGAUAUCUGCAUCCCCAGACUAAGUCUGUGUGGCAGUGAUCUUGUCUGCCUGCAUGGAACAUGGCCUGUGGAUAAAUAAAUGGCUGAAGCUGUCAAGGACUAGCCCUGCAUGGACAAUCAAUUAAUUAAAAAGGUACCUGACAAAUCUCCUCAUGCCCACACACAAGGACUCAAAGCAUUUAAUCCACAGCCCAGCACUCCCCUCCACACCAGAUGGCAAACUAAUAUUGCCUACUGAUAAUGGCAGCACAGUGAAAUGAGCAGAGAAAGCUUAUUGUCCACCACUUUCUAAAGUAGUUGUCCUAGGGCAGCACUUCCAGCAAAUAAAGAAGUGAAAUGCAUGUCCAUCCAACGAGAAGUAUAUUUAUAUGGAUCACCCAAAAGAGGAAACACAUAUUCCUGCAGCUUUAUGAACGUUAGCAGUUACACAGGUGUGUUUUAAAAAGAGAAAGUAAAAUCAAAAUAUUCAAUUAGAAAGAAUUACUGUAAUUGCAGGCUCCAUUUUAUCACUCCAUUCAAACCAUAAAGGGCCUCAAAAUAUUGUAGAGCUAUGAUACAAAGCUGUGUGUGGCUUAAUGCUUUAAUACAAAUCCAGAUGGUUCAUUUAAUUUUGUUUUAAGUGAGGGUCUCUCUUCCUUCCUAUCCCCUGCUGACUUCACAAAUGCUCUUUAAAAUAGCACUGAUUAUAAAACUAUUAAUUUUCUCUCCUCCGGGAAUGAGGUAUGCAGAGGAUGGAUACCAAAUUUAGCCACACACAUGUGCACUUUUCUUAUGCAUGAAAAUCAGGUGUAUGGGGGGCAGGGUGUGAGUAGGUGCAUACAAAUAAUAGGGUAUAUCCCUAAAUUUGAGAGCUUGACCUUUGAUCUCUGGAAUUUAUUUAGGUUAGUCAGCAACACAAAGGGAAGAGGUGUAGGUCCAAUUUCUGCUCCCUGAACACCAGAUAAAAUUCUCUUGCGAAGGAACAUACAAAGUUGUCAUUUUAUUCAAAUUAUAGAUCAGAAAAGGAUUCGUUUACCCAAGACCACAUAGCAAGUCAACGUGAGAGCCGGGACAGACGGAACAGAAUGCCUUACUCCCUGCCCUGUGCUCUAACAGGCUACACUCCCUUCUUUUAAUUAUUCUCGGAGUACAACCAAAUUCCUCCCUGGCACAAAGGGAAAUGUGAUACAGUACUUAUUUAUGGUAUCCUGCCAAUUACUUUAGUCUCUGGAUUCCAUCUGAGACUUCGUCCACAAGAAUACGUUCACAAUUCCAUUGUAAAUAUUGACAAAACUAACUGAAAUAUUCUCUGGCAUUCAAGAUUCAGGGUUUUUUUUUUAAGUUACAUUUUUAAACUACUUUCUCCUUUUCUGGAACACCUCCCACUACUCACUUUAUGCCAGAUUGUUCAUAUUUUCAAAUGCCUUCUGCUUACAACACGUUUUACUUCAACACUAUCAGCCUCUGUUGCUCUUUUUCUUGGCUUUGACAUAACUGGGAUAAAUUCCAAUGCCAACCUCGCGCCGUUCCUGAGAUGUCUGACUACUGCUGCGUAUGAGUCUGGAAUGGCAGGCAAAAUCCCACACAUUUGUUCAUAGAUGCAGUGGGGAACCCAGCUGAAAAAGGGUAACAUUCCCCCAUUUCCUACCAGCAUGGAAGAAGUGGAGAGAGCUACACAGUACAAGUCUUUCCACAAAACAUAAUUCUAUCAGAAGAGAUAGACAUUAGUGAAUCCUGUGUGUAUCAGUUAGGAAUAGAGACCCACAAUGCCAUGCAUACACACAUGCUCUCAAGUUCCCUGCCCUCAAGAACAUGCCUACAAUUUUAUCAAUCAUGCCCACAGUCUGAGCACUUUGUUUUAAAAAGUACACAAUCUCUCCAUCUUUCAGCUUCCCACCGCUAGCUAGCCCAAGAACUCUCCCUCCUUUAACUCCAGAGAGACUGUUCAAUUAUUUGGUUUUAGACAAGUGCAAACUCCAGCUUUCAUCAUCCUGGUGGGAAGGCAAAUAGGCCGACUUUUCUGAAGUUGACCCCACUAUUGCCCUAGAGGAGAAAAUUUGCCACUAGUUCUUGUGCCAGUUCAGCUGAACUGGUAGAAGUAGCAGCCUAGACAAGAUGCUGGCAGGCAGCACUGUUUUCACCAGGAUUUUGAUUCGACUUGCUUUUCUUCCAUGCUUCUUGUCUAUCCUGCAGCUCCUCAUGGGUACAUGCUGCUGGUUCUGAUGAAUUUUUAUGGCAAAUUUCACCAGUGUAGAAAUGGUCUGAGGGGAGGUACUUACAGAGUGGAAGGAAGAAGGUUUUUAGUGGCUGAGGCAGUACACUGGGAUUCAGAAGAUGCAGCUUUAAACUCCUGACAGCCACGUAUUUCCUGUGUGACACUGGAGCAACAGAUCCAAUCUACCCAAUGUCUCAAUUCCCCAACUGUAACAGGAGAUGCCUUCCUAGUCCGAGGGGCAGGAGUGUAAAAUCCAUUAAUGAUCAUGAAGCAUUUAGAUACCACUGCACUGAGAUAUACGAAUACCUAGAGAAAGAGUGGAGCAAGAAAGAAGCCACCCUCCAUCACAGAAUGCACAUGUGCUCCAUCUAACUGUAGAAAAAUCUUAGGUAUUCAGUCAACCCUGUCCCAGGAGAACAACCAAACCAACCUCCAUCCAACCCCUACAAAAGCUAAUGUUCAAACAGACCAUGAGAAGACACUGAUGGGAAAUGCAAGUCAAAGGGGCAAAUUUGCAUGGGACAUGUGAAAAUCAGUGUCAAUCAGUUCAGCAUCAGGUAUGUAAUAGUGUCGUCAAUUCACCAAUAAGCAAAAGCUUAUAGGUUAAUGCUAUAGACUACACGCAUCCCACCCUCAGACACAUGCACCCCUCCAGUAAAUUUUUUAGCAGCCCAGCAAAGUCCUACCUUGCGACAGAUUUGGGAUCUACCCCUGCUGCGGCUUUGUAUUGAAAGUGUUAUUAGGAGCCAAGCGAGCAGGCAGCCCAGCUUAGUCCUAGCUCACGUCGGGUCCAGGAGCUCAGGCCACCCCACAAAGAAGGGCUGCUGCCACCACACGCUGCCGCCUCUGUCAGGCAGCCUGUCCACGAGGCAACUGUGCAGUGUGGCAGGGGGCUCCUCAGGAGUGAGGCCAGAGCACACUGGCUGUCAGCCCCACCCACAGGGACUACAGAAUAGACGACGAACCAAUAAGAAUUCAUGCGGUUACUCAACUAUUAAAUUAACCGAUAUUUAACAUCCCUAAUCAGCAUCUUACCUGUCCACCCUGGAAUCUCGUCAUACAUGACUGGUAGAACUGCAUAGAACAGGGAUACAAGGUGGGUAAAGACAGACUUUUUACUGCACCGACUUAUGGUGGUGACAAACCAACUUUUGAGUUUACACAAAGCUCUUCUUUAGGUCUGGAAACAUACUCUGAGAACAGAGAUGACAACCUAACACAUGAACACAUGCUGAGGAAAGAUAGUCUUAUGGUUCAAAUAAGAAUUUCCCAUCCCACUGCCAUACCUUCCGUCUUGAACAUUUACUUCCACUAGUGAGCACUAAAUCCCAGACGUCAGUGGGAAUAAGGGGCUCUCAAUAUGUCCCUCAAUCUUUGUGCCUCAUUUCCUGCUCUGUUAAAAGGGAGGGAGAAGCAUUAACACUUCCUUCCUGCCUUCUCUGUCUAUUAUGCAAAUUGCUUGAGCAGAAUCCGUCUUAUGUACAGAUUUUGGUACUCUCACCUCAGUUAGGUUCCACAGCUCUAUGCAAUACCAGCAAUCAUACAUCUAUCGCCACUGAAACAAUGAACACAGUAUCAGUGUACAUAUACACACACUCGAUCAGGUCAAAUAUAUGCAUAUUAAAAAUGUAAUGGUCAGUGCACAGGUGGUAGCUACACUAAUUUUAUUAAGAAGCUGUAUCCUGGAUUCCUGUGUAGGUCUUCCUACUCAACGGCACCCUUUUCCUUCUAAAACUUUCUGAAACUCUGCUCGUUUGUACAUAUUCGUUCCUCAUUCUUAUUUGUGUACAUUUUAUUUGAAAAAAACAAGCUUUUUUUUUUUAAACUGCUUCUGGAACGGUUUGUUCUAGGGUUUUCCCAAACUGCCUUCACCUCAGAAAAUUUUGUAAAAUGCUGCUUGUUAUUCAGAGUAACCACCUGUCUUCCAAGCCUCCUACCACAAUCGCCUUCUAGCAACCUUGUCAGAUGGCUAUUGAUCUGAAUUUGAGUGGAUCCAUCCAACAAUAUGCAAUAAAGGGGAAUCUUUGAUUUAUUGAUUCCACUUUCACAUGGAACCAAAGUCAGUACAUUUUAAUGGGCUAGGCAGUUCUGGAAAAUUCUUGUUGGUCUUGGGGAAAAAAUAAAUCAGUGCUAGGCUUGAAAACGGUUUCUAAUCAUGGAAGAUCACUAGACAGUGGAUCAUUAGACAGUUACUAUUCUAGACCUGCUCCUUUGUCACCUUCCCCUUUAAUUCAAGCACGAUCUAUCCUUUUCUAUAUCAUGAACUGCUAAUUAGAUUAAUACUUGACACCAGCGAAAUGCUUUCCAGUGAGAUAAAGCUUUAGUUUCUACCUCUAUUUCUCAAGACAAUAGCCGCUAAAAAUCAAGUCAGGAUUCGAGGAAAAUAAGGUAAUUGAGGUAUUAGGAUUUCUUCACACUAUACCUUCACCAUCUUGCCCAGUACAAUUUGUCUUUUCUUUAGGAUAGGUUCAAAACAACAAAUUGCUUCUUUUGAAUGAGGUCUCUUGCCUCCAAUGAGAUAUUUAUUAGAGUCAGUUCUAUCAAAAAUCACUUCACUUAAGUAGAGCUCUCUCGAGUGGCAGUCUAUGUGCUGAUACAUCGACAGUGCAGGAAGACCAAAGCAAAAAUGUAAAGGAACGCAAUACGUUCAAUGCAACCAAGAACCAAUUUAAAGGUGAUCUGAAAAGAGGAAAAAUAUAGACUUAUUCCCUUUUAUUUGUGCUUCUCUAUGAUGUGCAAGGAAACUCGUAAAGUAUCCUCUCCCCUUCCCCCCCCCCCCUCCAAGAAAAACUAUUUUCUAUUUAUACAACAAACUGGUCUUGGCUACCCUAAAAAACUGUGUAUGGCAGAUUCCAGUGAAACUUGAGCAACUAAAAGAGGGAUUUUAGUAAGCAUUUAAAGUCCUUUGCAUUGUUAACAGGUAUUUGACAUAAAUGACGUGUAGUGCAGAAGGAGCUUCACCUGCAGGAGCCAGAGUGUAAGACUUCCAAACAAUUCUUACAAAUACUUGGGGGGGGGGGCGGAUUAGAGGUACCCAGAGCACCGGUCUAAUUCUGCUCCCACUGAAAUCCACAGUGUCCCUGUUGACUUAACAGGAACAGAGUUAGGCCACUGCUGAAGACUUUUACAAACUCCAAAGUAUCUAGUGCACAGGUUCCUAAAAGGUGGUCCCUGAAACACCAGCACACCAAGGUCACUCACUUGGUGAUAAGGCACUGGUCCUAUUUAUUCACCAGCUGCUAAACUGCAUUAAUAGAAAGUAUGAAACACCAGACUAACCCAGCUACAUUUCUAUCACUAAUAGAAAGUAUAGCUGCAAUGAAUGAGUACUUCCUCCAUACACACCCCAUCCACCCACCCGUGUUUUUUUUCCCCCACAUGUGUAAGUUACAGUAUUGCCAAAGAGAUGUUAUAGGAUUGUGUGGGAGGGGAGGUAGUCCAGAACACACUGCAAAGGUGCAGUCUACCCUUUGAAAAGGUUAGGGAAAACUCUUACCAGCAUCUUCAGAUCUGCUUCAACAUCUGUGAUUUGACCCCCCUCUAGUGGGUAACCCACAACAAGGCAGUAAGCCUCACUACCAGCUAAUGGCUAAUGGAGAGUCUCCUUUUGCUCAGGUGAUUAGUUCACUUUUUAAGCCUAGGUGCCCUCUAUACCAACACUAAUAUCUUUUGUGCUGUUCAAUGUGAAUGAUGUCUACAGCCAGAGAUUCCUUAGGGUGAGAGACUCUAUACUAUCCUGUAUUGGAAGCAGGUGUUCAGAAUUUUCUUCUGUAGAGCACUCACACAGGGGUCCUUUGCAAUUUUGAGUAAAUGGAAGCAGAGAGAAAUUCUCUGCAAUAUUUGGUUUUAUGUGCAUCUCUGCUUGUCAUAGCAUUGUCAUUGACUUGGUGCUUCUUCCCUUUGUCAGGCAUUUUCAGAGCCUGACAGAACUCUAUGCUACAGCCAAGUUUUCACAGCUUAUUCCUAAAGAGGAAGAACUCAGCUGCCAGACAAACUAACCAGAAAAGUAGAAAAGUAUGUAAGUCUGCCAGAAGAGACAGCAAAUGUGCAGAAAGUGUCUAGAAAUCUCAGUUCCCGAGACAGAAGAGUCUGACAAGAUUCAUGGAUGGAUACUUCCAGCUACCCAGUUGUUUGACAGAUAAAUAUCUUCCAAUCUUAAAUUACCCAGACAUGGUCUAGGAGUUGCCAACAUACACUGAAUGAGAAGUGUUUUUAAAUUAUCUUGACUACAGUGAAUGUUUAAAUCACACUAUUAACUCUAGCACAAAAUUCUCUGAUGUAACUAAAUGUGUGUACAAUAAAUGAUUGUUUAACAGCAAAUAUUCCAUUCAAGCAAACUGUUGCAGCAGAAACUUAGCUCCUUGAUAGAUUGGUUUGACAAUUAUGCAAAUAUUUAUCUUUCCAUAUCCCACACAACCUUCUUUAAAAUACGGGUAUUUCCCACAUUUGGUACAUCAACUAGUGAAAAAAACAGUCGAGUCUUUACCUUGCUUGUAGGGAUUACAGAACACAUGUAGAGUCUAAAUGCUUUAAUAUCAAGGGAAACGGGACUACAAGGUUUUCUUACACUCUGCUUUCUUCAGGACACGUACAUUUACAGUUCUUGUUUUUAAAACAGAUUGGGAUGCAUUACAUGUAUGGAAAUAUUCCUGAGAACUUCUGAGACACAAAAGAAUAGGAUUUUCAACUGAUCAUCACCUUUCAUUGUAGACCCAUCAGGCUCAGGUUACUAUUAUUCCACUGGUUUUUAGUGGUACAUUCCUAGAUAUAACCUACUAGUAUGAUGCUACACAAGGUAACAAUUCACACUCCAAACUUUGUAUAUUUUAAGGAAAGCAAUCACAACCCACUAACCUACUUGCAACAGUGAUUAGAAAGAAUAAAUCAACAAUAUCAUUUUUGUAAUACAGCUAGUUAGCCCAGACACUACAUCUUUUAAGUCAAAAUGUCCAUCCCUUAAUUUACACAGAUAAAUUACUUCAGUGGAAGCAACAGUCCUGGCAUGCUUAAAAGGCAGCCCUGCCUCCAGUCUAGUUCAAGCAACACCACCAGCACUGCAACAUUCUCCCUUAGUGAAUAUCCCUUCUGCAGUUUUGUAGUACUGAAGCACAAAA